rnacentral:lncRNA from 1 species
AAAGGGUUGGAUUAAAGCUUAAAGAUAUUAUUAUUUGAAGUUGAAAUAUAAUGUUUGAGAUGUGUCAAACGUCUAAAUUUUUUUUAGCUUUUCCCCCUUCAAAUUAGACACAUUAUUAUUACUAAAUGUGUCUUCCAAUUACACACAUUAUUAUUACUAAAUGUGUCUUCCCAAUUUUUAGUAAAUAUAUGUGGGUGCAUGUCCAAGUUUGAGUAAUACUAUUCUAAUCACUACUAAUAAAAUGACCAAUAAAAUUUACAUCGGUUGUGUUUAUCAUAAAUAUGAACAAAGUACUGGAUGAUUCUUGGAGAAGGAAGAAAUCUAGUGUUUCUCAUUUUCAAAAUUUUAUUUAAGGAUUAAGUAAUAAAAGUUUCAUCAUCUUGCUUUUCCUCUGGGUUGUUCAAGCGAUGUCCAUGGAGCUGUCUCUUGAGUGUUGGUAUUAUGACGACUCUUGCCCAUACCACAACUCCAAGACCGAAGCACAUAAUCAGAGCUCUUAUCAGGAUAUAAUAAUUUUAUAUUCAAUUAGUAUAUUUUAAUCAAAUAAAAUCGCUAAUGUUGCCUCUUUAAUUACUCUCAUCCAACUUUUACCUGAAGAGAGACAAUGCUACCGACCAGAUAUGCAUGAAGAGUCGAAGCCUAAGAAAAUAUAUAAUUAUAUUAGUAUUAAAUUUAAAAUUAAAUAAAUAAAAAAAUUAUUUCAUUAGUACAAUUUACUUACAGAAUGAAGAAGGAUGACUAACAGAGGUCUGCCAAGGUGAUCCCCAUAGCUCCAAGUAAAACAAUUGUGUUGUCUGUGUUAUCAUUGGGUUGCUUAACUCGUUUAGAAGACCCAAAUAGUAUUGGGUUUUUAAUAAAAGUCAUCUCCAUGGCACCUGAAAUAGCUCAUACC